rnacentral:rRNA from 1 species
GAAGACGGUCAUAGUAGGUUGGAAACACCUGUUCCCUUUCCGAACACAGAAGUUAAGCUUCCUACGUUGAUGGUAGUAGUGUCCGACAAGAUGCAAACCCAUCAAGUUGUCUUCA